GGGGACGCAACACAAUUCUCCAAAAUGGCCGCUGUGCGGCUCCGAUCUGAAAGGUAGAUUUCCUACAGCUUUAAGAAUAAACACGAUGUUUUUAAUUUCCGUGAUAUUGUAUCGGUUAAUUUAAGAAAAGUUUUUAGUGUAUCGUGGCUGAACCUGUGUGUGUAGUUUUCGACGAACUUGGCGCAUUAGCAGAAAACCCCCACUGUUUGGACGAAGGCCUCCCUCCUGCCGUCACCGGCCUGCCUUUAUUCCUGUUUUCAAGCAAGCAUUCUGGCGUUUUUGCGGCAUUAAAGACGGAAUAAAGCGAUUCACCUGCGAUGGAAUGAGGACGGAAUAUAAAUAAAAGUCACCAAAAAAAAAAAGCCGGUGAACCACAAGGCCGCAAAUCAGACCUCGGACCCCGGUGCACCUGUCACCCCGAGAAAGAGGCAGGAGGAGCGGGGAGUCAUUCCCUUCACGAGCACGGAGCUACUGGAGAGCUCCAAGGUAGGAGGAAGAUGGAGGAGAUAAAGACUGAAAGUUCGAAUAAUGUUGAGGAAGUGAAGCUGCAAGAAGAAGUGGCGGAAGAUCCUAAUGGUCCAAAGAAGAAAGGGCGCCGGAAAAAAGAUGUUAAAACCCCAAGGCGGCCGACUAAAAGGAAGAAGCCCCCAGUGGAGUACGUUCGCUGCGAAAUCGAAGGAUGCGGCACCGUUCUGGCGAACCGUCGCUACCUAAAGCAUCACAUCAAAUACCAGCACUUGCUUAAAAAGAAGUACGUGUGCCCUCAUCCCUAUUGUGGAACGCUUUUCCGCCUACAAAGGCAGCUAUUUCGCCAUGCCAAGCAACACACAGACCAGAGAGACUACGUCUGCGAGUUCUGUACUCGUGCCUUCAAGAACGCCUACAAUCUGGCUGUGCAUCGCAUGAUCCACACGGGAGAGAAGCCCAUCCAGUGUGAGAUCUGUGGCUUCACCUGUCGCCAGAAGGCCUCCCUCAACUGGCACAUGAAGAAGCACGACGGCGACGCCUCCUAUCAGUUCCCCUGCUCCAUUUGCGGCAAGAAGUUUGAGAAGAAGGACUCGGUGGCGGCCCACAAGGCCAAGAGUCACCCGGUGAUGCUGAUAUCGGAAGCGCUCGCAGACAACGCCGGCACCCUCAUCACAAACCCCGCGCCCUCGCCGGAGCUGCCGGGAGAACCGGUGCAAGUGGAGGUGGCCGGCGUGGAAGCCAACCAAGUGGUUGAGGAUGAAGUGGUGCAGCAGGUGGUGAUCAAGGAAGAAUAUGUGGAAGAGUAAGUGGCUCAGGUAUCCCAGAUGAGUCAUGUGCCCUAACAAGGUCAGCAGGCAGCUCUGAUAGACCCUCCGUGCCACCCGGGUACCUGUGGACGAGCAGCAGCAGUCUCACCUUCAGCUCCAGACCAUUUAGCAGCCCCCACAACUUACUUUCCAUUGCCCCUCAGUGGUGACCCGACACACCUUGAAGAUUCCUUGUGGAAGGAAGUAUGUUGGAAGGAACUCAUCUUACUUGCAUUCUCAUCUGUUAUUGAUGUCAACUUACUGGACUGAAGACGGCGCAGGCAAGAUUCCUUGCUGCCAAAUUGAAGACAGGCGGGCUGGACUUUGGAUACUCCUGGUAUUGAGAUGGAGAAUUGCAGCUUCUUUUUAAGAGAAACCCUUUUUAUAGUUUGAGUAAAGAGAUACUGGAGACGACUCAUUCAGGGUCCAAGUGGCUGCUCAGAUUUGUUGAUGCUUAACUUAUUAACAAACAAAUAGUGGUUGUACUGUACUGUACGUGUAAAAUGAUGUGUGUAUGGUUUACUCCACUCAUUGUGGAACAGACUUUUCUUCUUCUUCAGCUGCACUGAUGGCUUUGCUCUUCCCAUGUAAUCUUGUAGAGAACCAGUCCAAUAUGACAUGUUAAUCUUGCUAUAUGGUCCCUCUGUUCUCAAUGUCAUUCAAACGCUUGCACGUUGGACUCCCCAUUUCUGCCCUCACAUAUUUUUCUCACCUUUUCUGGCUCUCUGUGCUCGUGCUGUCUUUUCAUGUCCGUCAAAGAAUGCUAAGAUCUGCCAUUUUUUUUGUUUUACUUGUGUUGAGUAGUUAAGCUGUUUAUUAAAAACAUGUUUUCUUAUUACCA